AGAAUAUGAAUGAUAAUGGCCAGAGAAAUGGGACAGAAAGAAAUUCAGAAGCACAAGGUGACAUUUCGAGAAGGAAACAGCCUGUACUACUAUUUAACGUAGCUAACGGUAAGGUAAGUGUAUGAGUACGAACCCCAAUGCCUUAAAAGGACUGUGCGCUUGGAAUUGGCCUUCGGUUAGGAAUUAUGUGGCAAUAUAACAGAACACCGUUAUCG
rnacentral:rRNA from 1 species